AGGUGAUAAUGAGAAGAUGAAGAUUUAGCUUUUUGGAAAACACUGCAAAAGGACAUUUGCUUUGAUUAACGAUGCAGAGCAGGCCUUCUCAGACCUGCCCAUCACAACACCUAAGAUGAAGGUUCAAGGCUGUAAGGAGGGUCAUCCUGUGCAGCAUGACAACAUUGUGCUCAGGUUGGAUGGACAGAUAAUCAGAAAGGAGAGUGAGGACAUCUCAAUGGCACUGAGAUUCCUCCUGUCUUUAUAUCUUGUGUUUGGAAUCCAGUAUCCUGGCUUGUAA